rnacentral:rRNA from 1 species
CGCCUGGGGAGUACGGCCGCAAGGUUAAAACUCAAAGGAAUUUGACGGGGACCCGCACAAGCGGUGGAUUAUGUGGAUUAAUUCGAUGCAACGCGAAAAACCUUACCUACCCUUGACAUGCCAGGAAGUCUCCAGAGAUGGAGAUGUGCCCGAAAGGGAACCUGGACACAGGUGCUGCAUGGCUGUCGUCAGCUCGUGUCGUGAGAUGUUGGGUUAAGUCCCGCAACGAGCGCAACCCUUGCCAUUAGUUGCUACAUUCAGUUGGGCACUCUAAUGGGACUGCCGGUGACAAACCGGAGGAAGGUGGGGAUGACGUCAAGUCCUCAUGGCCCUUAUGGGUAGGGCUUCACACGUAAUACAAUGGCCGGUACAGAGGGCAGCCAACCCGCGAGGGGGAGCUAAUCCCAGAAAGCCGGUCGUAGUCCGGAUUGCAGUCUGCAACUCGACUGCAUGAAGCCGGAAUCGCUAGUAAUCGCGGAUCAGCAUGUCGCGGUGAAUACGUUCCCGGGUCUUGUACACACCGCCCGUCACACCAUGGGAGUGGGUUCCACCAGAAGUAGUUAGUCUAACCGCAAGGGGGGCGACUACCACGGUGAGAUUCAUGACUGGGGUGAAGUCGUAACAAGGUAAC